AAUAACCAAAUAUAACACUAAGGCUAAGGGUCAAAUUGGUAAUUUUUCUUACAUCCCCCCCGGGGGCCCAGGAAUCAUAUACGCCGCCAAAAUAAAGAGCCUUGAGUACUAGAAGAAAAAGA
rnacentral:ncRNA from 1 species